CUAUUCUGAGCACAUUGAAAUUUAAUUUGGGGGUCCAAAAUGAACAGUGAUAAUUUAUCAUUAAGAUAUGACUUGAAAAUAGCAUUGCUUUUUACAGGUUUCGAGUACUGUAAAACCAUCUGCUGCUAUGACAAUUGGUAUAAGCACCGGUUUUGCUAUAGUUCUGCUCUGUGCAACUAUUGCUGGAUUGUCCUAUUUCUGCCUCAAAAGGAGAAACCAACUGAUCAGCUCUCGCUAUUUUAGGGCUGAACUAGAUGAUGAUGAACCUUUUUGGCAGGAAAGGAGCCCACAUUUAGUAUCCAUUCCAAAUCCUAUUUAUGGAGCAGAUAGCUCAAUCUAUGAGCCAUUUGAGGAGUCUCUCCACAGAGAAGAUUUUGUCGAUACUGAAGACAUUCUUGGACAAUAAUAUUUUUUUAUAAUACAAACCAGGAUACAAAAAUUCCAGGAAUUUUGAAAAGCUAUACCUCAAUUCUAUUCCUUUUAAAGUUUAUGGGAAAGAAUUAUGAUCGAAAGAGCUAUUGGCAUUUACAGUCAUAAACAAUUUCCAAUUUUUUGUUUAGAAUUCAUUCCCUCAUGUUGUAUUGCCUCUUUUUAGAGAUCUUCAGGAAUAAAUUCUGAGUAUAACUGUAAUAUGAAUGGAAA
rnacentral:lncRNA from 1 species